AGCGAACGCUGGCGGCAUGCCUAACACAUGCAAGUCGCACGGGGGGGCUUCGGCCUCCCAGUGGCGGACGGGUGAGGAACGCGUAAGGACCUGUCGAGGGGUGGGGGAUAACCGCGGGAAACUGCGGCUAAUACCGCAUGACGCCGCGGCGUGACAGCCGGGGCCAAAGGCGAAAGCCGCCCGCCGAGGGGCCUGCGUCCGAUUAGCUGGUUGGCGGGGUAGCGGCCCACCAAGGCGUCGAUCGGUAGCUGGUCUGAGAGGGUGAUCAGCCACACCGGGACUGAGACACGGCCCGGACUCCUACGGGAGGCAGCAGUGGGGAAUAUUGGACAAUGGGCGCAAGCCUGAUCCAGCAAUGCCGCGUGGGUGAAGAAGGUCUUCGGAUUGUAAAGCCCUUUCGGCGGGGACGAUGGUGACGGUACCCGCAGAAGAAGCCCCGGCUAACUUCGUG
rnacentral:rRNA from 1 species